AGAUUGGCAAAGCCGCAGCCCCCUUUCGCUUGGCAGAGUCUUUACAGCGAGACUUUUAAAACAAAGAUAAUUGCACACGGUAAUAACAGUUAUACAAUAAUGAGCAAGUACAAAAGGAAAGAAAACAAGAUUAUACAAUAUUUAGACAAUACUCCCAAAAAAGAAAACAGAACCUACAUGCUAACAUACAUAGCACUCAAAGUACUGUUCGACACAUUGAAGAGGUCAAAAUUAUUGUAUACAUAAGCUAUAUACAUACUCGUAUAAAGCUGCCAAUCCCUGCAAAAUAUAGAACGCAGAUUUUCAUUACACACACCCACGCACGCAUGUGCACAACCCACACACCAAAAGGAAACGGCGGCGAGCUCAUAGGAGGCGCCUGAAAAAAAGAAAAUCUGGGGGAACCGAGGUCGUCUUGCGCUGUCGCAUCUCCCUCUCCCAGAAGGAAUGAAAAGGUUCUUGGAAAAGCAGGGACGGGCGAUUCUCUCCGUCAGCAUUAGCUCCCACCAGCGAGGACGGGGCUAGAAGCCAAGCGGGACUUUCCUUGCUAUCUAUUUUUUCUUCGUCAGGCCUAACGCCGCCUGCUCGCGGGGGCGCAGGCAGGGGCGCGAGUUGCCUCCAAAUGCUAGCUCUGGAUGCCAGCUCGUUCCGCGUCUCUUGGUAGACUAGUUGGUGCAUUUCUGUUAUCAUGGACUGCGGAUAUAAACGCAAACUACACAAAAGUGACAUGGACAAGAACAGCGCAAGCCCUUUCCAUGCAGUGGAGCCGCCGUAUCCCGCCGUUCAAGAUAUGCGUACUCGAAGAAAAAAAAUUGGCUGAACGAGCUUGGUUAAGCCUAGUCAGAUGCGAAGCAUAUUGGUGGCUAAACUUGGAAACACGGGAACGACACUGCUUAAAUUGAAGCACAGUGUGCGAACGACCUGCUAAGUUCGGAACUGUUAUCACCAAUCGGGAAGAAAUCAGAUGAAAAAACAAAACUGUAAAUACCCAGUACUGUACGAUAUACGUCUGGUGCAUUACAGGAUCGGGAUUUCUUGCACAGGACUGUGAAACAAGUCCACUAAAUCAUCUGCAUGGCUCACAGGGCUAUUCAUUACUAUAGUAUUUGUUUGUUCGCUUGUUUCAGUUUUUAUGAGCACUAACUAUCCAAGCUUCACUCUCGACGAUGACAGAGAAAUGCCGGAUGUUAUACCGUUCAGAUCUAAGAACAUGGGAACGGCUGAAAGAGCCUCCCGGGCAGUAUGGGAAACUCUCACAGCAGACCAGCGGUGUCCUUUAGCUGUAUCAUACUAUUUCAGGGAAGACUACUUACAAAUUGUUAACACUGCUGCACGAAAAAAUUAAUGUACUUUAUGAUUGCAAAAUAAAUACCUAAAAAAAAAAACAUUGCGUUCACGCGUUUUUUUUGUUGUUGCGUGUUUACACUAACGAGUACAGAUAAUUAGAGGCGUUUAAAUACGCAUAUCGCGUAUAUUAUCAGCGCGAGUUAAACGCCUCUAUAAACUGUAUACGUUGACCUGAAAAUCCAACACGCAGCAAAAAAAGAAAAACCUGGUGUUUUUAAUAUAAAAAAUAAUAAAAUACACGUCCGCACCCGACCGAUGGCCAACGGCAAACCAGUGUUUACGAAAUAUUGGGUAGUCGGCCCGCAUGCAGUGUGCACUCGGCGACGUCGGCUACAGUAGUUGGCCUAAGUCACUUGCCGAUGGUCGCUAGACGUGAGGCCAGUGUCGAUCCCCGAUACCGGCCCUCCAUCGGGCGCCGAGGUCUGGCCAACCGUUUUGCAGUUGGCCAGAGACGUCGGGCCGAUUUCGUAACGGGGACUUAGUUGCUUGGGCUCUCUGUAAAAAAAUCAAACACUGCGAUAGCUAUGCGUCGAACAGUGUAUAGCGCGUUAUUUGCACCCAUGUGGGUGUUUUACGUGCAUUUACGCACGUCCUGGUAUUUAUUCUGAACCAAAUUGCGUAUUGAUAAAGUUUUGAUUGAUAUUGGCUUACGCAGGUACGCGUUGUCAAUAGAGUUUAGCGCUAUUAAUUUUACGCUGGAUGUAUGCUUCUUUCCCAUGUGCGUAUAGACGCUACGAGAGGGUACCAGGUGCACGUAUUUAUAGUAGGUAGUCAUUUUGGGAUGACACAUAUGUAACGGCCGUGUAAGCCGAGAAAAGCACUGAAAUGUCUUAUCUAAAUUAAGAUUUCAGUGCUUUUUUGGACGCCUAAAACGUAUCCAAAAGCAGAUUAGUACAUCGUCCACACGUUUACGAAAAACGUACUCGA